ACCAUCCUUUUCUUGGGGUUGCGCUACUGUCCAAUGAGCGCGUAGUGAGGACAGUACUGCUAACGCCUAAACAACACACCCGCAUCAAUUAAAGCUUUGCUUUACUUUGGUGCAAUUUUUGGAAAA
ensembl:snRNA